rnacentral:rRNA from 1 species
GUGGCAAGUCUUCCAGUAUGGGGAGCAAAACAGCUAUGGGUCAAGUCCGAUAUCUUUAGGAGAAGUCUUAUUGUGAGGGCGAGUUAUAUAACACCAUAGGACUGGCCGUCCCAUAUGAAAAGAUUAUAUUAGAAUUGAAUGAAGCUUUGUUUAUAUAUUGAUAAUGACAGUAUAUAUAUCGUGUCUUGACUAAUUGCGUGCCAGCAGUCGCGGUAAUACGUAAGAGACUAGUGUUAUUCAUCUUAAUUAGGUUUAAAGGGUACCCAGACGGUCAAUAUAGCUUAUAAAAUGUUAGUACUUGACUAGAGUUUUAUGUAAGAGGGCAGUACUUGAGGAGGAGAGAUGAAAUUUCGUGAUACCAAAGGGACUCUGUAAAGGCGAAGGCAGCCCUCUAUGUAAAAACUGACGUUGAAGGACGAAGGCACAGAGAACAAACAGGAUUAGAUACCCAAGUAGUCUUUGCAGUAAAUGAUGAAUGCCAUAGGUUAGAUUGGUCAAUUAUAGUCUAGGGUUAGUCUAGCAAACUAAUACCCUAUGCUAUAAUCCUAAUAUCUGGUCUAUAAAUGAAAGUGUAAGCAUUUCACCUCAAGAGUAAUGUGGCAACGCAGGAACUGAAAUCACAAUG